GGAUGUGCCUAGUUCUGCAGGGACUUGAUGUGCCAAGGUGAGGUGAUACCCAGCAGUGGCCUCCCCUUUCUCAGAGGAAAAGGAGAGGGGGAUGAGAGGAGAGAAGAUAUGUGAGGAGGAGACUGGGAGGAGGGAGGCUGAUUUUGGAAUGUAAAGUGAAUAAACAAAUAAAUUAAUAAAAAACCAAAAAGAUUCUCAGAGAAUCAAUGGGAAGAACAAAUGCCCAGAACAUGAGUUCAGAUCCCAGAUCUGCUGUUUGUAGACUGUCAAGCCUUGAGCGAGUUUGCUAACUGGUCCAAAGCUCCUCGUCUGUUUCAUCUGUAAGUCAGGCACCACAGCAAUCAUCCUUCAUGAUGCUGCUGAGUGUGAAUUACGUUAAUGUGGCCACUGAAGUGGUCAGACAGAACUAGUGUUUUCACAUUUGACAGUGAGCCAUACUGCCACUAAUAGUAUUAAGUGGCCAGCCUAUGGGGUCAAUUUUUCAGUAGACAGAGCUCACUGAAAUGUGAUGGAGACAUGGAGAAUGUGAUGUGAAGAAGCCAGAGAGCAUCUCUGUCCUGGUGUUUGGCAGGGCUGGAACCUCUGCGGAGCAUAAUGCUUGGCUUACACAGUUUACGACAUGAGAUGUUACAUUCAAGCCAAACAAACCCUGGCUUUAUGGGUACUUUUAUUAAGUGCUGAUUACAAUUAUGAUUUUUAUUUUAAAAUUAUGUUUAUGUAUGUGUCUAUGUGAGUGUGGGUGCCUGCAAAGACCAGAAAAUGGCAUACGAUUCUCUGGAAGUAGAGUUACAGGUGGUUGUAGAAGCUAGGAACCAACCUUGGGCCCUCUGGAAGAACAAACACCAAGAGCUCUUCGCCUCUGAGCCAUCUCUCCAGCCCGUUGUUGUGUUAUAAACACACAGUUCAAUUAUUAGAAUCCAAGGAACAUAGGAAACAAUCUCUGACACCGGGGGACUGAAAAAUCUAUUAAAGAUCUUGUGACUCUUUUGACCAUCAGAAUUGUCUUCCUAAAAUAGACAUAAUGUUCUGGUUAAAAUAAAAACAACAUAACAGGUUUAAUGAGUAUUUCAUUUGCAGAAGCAGGAAGGAGAACAGAGGAAGACCCUAGAGUGCUGGGCAGAUCAAAUGAAAUAGUGACUAUCAAAGGGAGCCAACCCGACAAUACAAACCACAGCUGAGAUUCGAGGCUCCAUGUGAUGUUAUUUUGGGGAGCUUUUAUUGUCAGAUACCCACGCUGCACUGAAUGUGCUGGCAUGCCUUCAGAGACGAGACCAAUGGCCACUCAUACCAGAAGACAGGCUAAUGGUGACAGAGAGCAGGCCAGAAGACAGGGAAGAUUUGUCUGUUAGGUCACGGGAAAGAAUUGCAUUCCUCAACGUCUGGGCUGACAGACUUAAUUUUUGUGUUUGUAGUACGUGUCUAAGUGCGUAGAGAGCAUGGUAAAAAUAUUGGCUGAACUAAAAAUGUGGUUCUUUUCAACCUUCAGCUUUGCCCACCUAUUUUUCCAUUAGAGAUGCCUGACCAACAGUAUUUUUGAAAAUUCGAUCUCUCAUCUAUCAAGUGGCCCUUAGAUACCUACUCUCAUAGAGCUGGAGUUUUAAAAAUAAAUGCUGUAGACAAAAAAUGAUUUUGCUUUGUUUGUUUGUGUCUUUCUGGAGUACAGCUGGCCUGGAAUUCACUGUGGAGUUCACUAUUCCCUGCCUAACCUUGAACUUGUGACACUUCCCCGCUUUCAGCCUCUGGAGUGCUUAAUAAAAUGGUGUUUGUUU